AUGGCAAAGUCAGUUCCAAUGAAUGGGAAACAUUUCACGAAAUCGAUAACAGGUUCAAUGCCAAUGAACGGUGGAAGUGGUACUUACAGCUACUCCAAGAACUCCUACUUCCAGAGAAAAGCUGCAGAGAUUGAAAGGGAGAAGAUCAUGGAGGUGAUUGCUGAGAAGCUUGAUAUGAAGAACCUCUCCUCAGUUUCAAACACCAUUCGCGUUGCAGACUUGGGAUGUUCAACCGGACCAAACACUUUCGUGACAAUGCAAAACAUACUAGAAGCCAUGCAACAAAAGUACCGAUCCCAAUGUAAUGCUCAUGAUGAUCAUCAAACAAUGCCUGAAUUUCAAGUGUUCUUCAACGACCUAGUGUUGAAUGACUUCAAUACCUUGUUUACCUCUCUUCCCAAAGACAAACAAUACUUUGCAGCAGGCGUACCAGGGUCUUUCCACGGCCGUCUGUUUCCGGAGUCCUCUAUCCACCUUGUGCACACCUCACAUUCCCUCCACUGGCUCUCUGAGUUGCCAGAAGAGUUGCAAGACAAGGACUCUCCAGCAUGGAACAAAGGGAGGAUUCACUACACAAGUGCCCCUAAUGAAGUGGUUGAUGCUUACAUGUCCCAGUUUGCUAAGGAAAUGGACAACUUUCUCGAAGCCAGGGCUAAAGAACUUGUGCCUGGAGGAAUGAUGGUGAUGAUCUUGACUGGAACUAUUAAAGGCAGGCCUCAUUCGGAAACCGCACCUGGCAUGAUGUACAAUGCAAUAUCAUCCAGCCUCAUGGAUAUGGAAAAAGAGGGAUUGAUUGAUGAAGGUCAAGUGGAUACGUUCAACCUGCCUCUCUACGCUGCUUCACUAGAGGAGUUGGAGGGGCUUGUGGUUAAAAAUGGGUGCUUUAGCAUCGAGAAGAUGGAAUUUUCAGACCCAGCAACAUGGUUGAAAGGUCCGCUUGACAUAACGCAAUGGGUGAUGCAUAUACGAGCUGUAAUGGAAUGCAUGUUCGCCACACACUUUGGAAGUCAUGAGAUUGGAAAUUUCUCUGUGAAGCUGACGAAUUAUGGUGCCAUUGUGCUCUAUGUUGUUCUCCCUGAUAAGAAUGGGAAAUUUAAUGACGUUGUUCUUGGGUUUGAAUCCCUCAAAGAUUACACUAAUAAUUCUGUCUACUUUGGGGCCACCGUUGGGCGUGUUGCUAAUAGAAUUGGUAGGGCUGAAUUCACUUUGGACGGUCACCACUAUAAGUUGGUUGCUAAUGAUCAUGGAAAGAAGUCAAAGAACACUCCAUGGUGGCUCUAAAGGGUUCAGUGAUGUUUUAUGUACAGUGAAGCGUCACAUUGAAGAUAGUCACAUAACAUUCACCGAUGACAGUCGGGAUGGUGAAGAAGGCUCCCCUGGUGAUCUUUCAGUCUCAGUACAUAUACGUUUGCCUCUCACACAAAAUCCACAUUUUCGGUUCCAACAUCAGUCGGGAACGGCAUAUGAUUUCCUUGAGCCCCGAGAGAUCGGUAGCAGGAUCAAUGAGCUGCCUGAUGGUUAGGACAUCAACUACAUAUGGACCCUUCCAGCCAUGAGCACUUGAGGAAGGCUGCAGUGCUGCAUGACAGUGUUUCGGGCGAAAAUUGGAGCUGUGGACUAACCAGCCAGGGCUGCCAUUCUACACUAGUAACAUGCUGGAUGAUGUGAAAGGGAAAGGUGGAUUUAUGUACAAAAAGUAUGCUGUAGUGUGCUUGAAGACGCAGCAUUUCCAAGAUUCCGUGAAUAAUCCAAAUUUCCUUUCACAAAGUUUGAAUCCAGGAGACACUUACAUGCAUUCUAUGGUGUAUAUGUUCACAGCUAACUAG